UCCAACGUGUUCUCUCUCCAAUCCAACCAAGAACCCUAAUUUUCUUCCCCCAAUUUCUUCUUCCCCCAAUUUCUUCUUCCCCCUCCAAUCCAACGUGUUCUCUCUCCAAUCCAACCAAGAACCCUAAUCUUCUUCUCCCAAUUUCUUCUUCCCCCAAUUUCUUCUUAACAGCUUGCUCCGACGUGGUGGCUCAGAGAGUGGUUCAAAUUCUGGAAGAUUGGCUAGGUUCCAUCAUUAGCAGAAUCAGAUGGUAAAAACAAGGAUUUGUUUAUACAGUAGUCAAGUGCCAUUUGCAACUCCAAUCGGUAGGUGGGACUCUCAUCCCUAAUUACAAUGAUGUUAUUCCCACCGUCAAUGGCGUUACCGGUAUCCAGUUAGGAGCUGGUUUGGCUGGUACUUCGUUUGCACCAAACAACAACAACCAAAACAAUGUUCAAAUGC